GGCAGACUCAUGCUCGACAUGCAUGGGCUGACCACAGGCCACCUGCAUUUCUAAGGGAGACCUGGAAACAGCCAACUGCUGGGGUGAGGAGCCCACGGGCCAGGGACGUACAUGCAGUGGGGACUGUUGUAGCAGUCAGAGAGGCUCCAGAGGCAGGAGCCGCUGGUGCGGGCCUCCCAUGGAGGGGGUGUUCACUGCUCUUUGGCAGGGACAGGCAUCCUGGAGUACACAGUUCUGCACAGCUUCCCACACUAAGCCCUCAAGCAAACACAGCCCAGGUGUUUGCCAUAUUAGAUAACUCUCCUGAAAAGCAAAGUAACCCCUUCUCUCCCCUCUAGGGUUGGCAGCUGCCCCCCUUUAAAUUUGGCAGAGACAGGCAGCUGCAGCCUUAAUUGAUCCAUUUGCUGCCAUCAGCUGCUGUUGCUCUGGCUCUUCCCAGCUCCUGCAGACUCUGAGUUCCUGCAAAACAAGACUUCUGUUUGGCUCUGCCACCUUAGAGAAUUACAACAAUCAAUCCUGGAGGCUUCAAGGAACGAGAAAGGUUUCAGCUGAGAUGAAAACACAAAAUACCUUUCACAUCUGGCUAGGAGAGCUACAGCUUUAACUCUCCAACUGCUUCAUGAUCAAGGAAUGAAUGGGUGAAAAUAAUGAUCUGAAUUGGAGGAAGCAUGUGCAAAUGCCAAGAAGGCAAAUCACCAACAUCUUAAGCAACUGUUUCCACAAAGUUUGUUCCUUCUCAGCUCAACAUCACUUUUGCACCCACAGGAUCCAAAAUCAAGGUAUGGUCAGAAAACCAGCAGGGUUUUGGACUGGAGUACUGAAGAAAGGAAUGAAUUUUCACCACAUCCACUUUAAAAGCACCCUUUAUUUCUCAGCUCUCAUUGCUCAGAAAGCACCUGCCUGCCCGA